UUUCAGAUCCAACACUUCUGUAAGGGCUGAUUUGGUAUUUUGAUCUCGACAGUCAGUGUGGGAUUCCAUUAGAGAAGAUUCGUAUGAAUUCUUCCUACUAUCAUUCAAGAGUGAAAAAGUUAAGUAUAAUCUCUUAUUAGUUUUAUAUAUUUGAACAAAACCUAUUUACUCUGCAGUUUAUAAUAUGCAAAUAAUUGUGCUAAUGAAUGUUUUAAUUUUGACAUCAGGCAAUCAUUCAUCAAAUAUUGAACGGAGCAGCACUGCAUCACAGGUAAGUUAACAAAUCUAUAUACUCUAGAGUUUAUCGAACAUGAUGUUUAAAAAAUUUGAAAACAGACAACAAUAUUCAUGCAAAUUCAUAUUUAUCACAUGCUAUGAAAAUAUGAAUAAUUGAAUUAAAACUUACCUGAAUAAAUAUGUUGGAUCUUUAGAUCAUAUAAUUCGUGUUCCUCUUAAUGAUUCAUGAGAACUGAGUAUAACUGCAUAAUGAUCUGUGUAACUGCUUAAUUGUGUAACUGCUUAAUACUUAACUGCUUAAUUGUGUAACUGCUUAAUACUUAAUGUAAUCGUGCAUAUAAUCUUAUGUAAUUUUAUGUUUGUGGGCCUUUAUGUGGGCCUAUAGCUGUAUUAUCAUGUAAGCAUUUGUCAUUGGGCUUUUUUUAUAUAUUUUUUGGUAUUAGUAGUAUUUAUUUUAUAUAAUCCUGUGCAUGUAGUUGAAAUAUAAUUUCGACAUUUAUUAUUGGGUCUUUUGGUUCCAAAUUUUUAUUACAAUCUUUAUUAUAGCUUUUAUAUUGGAUAAUUUUUUUUUUCUAUUUAUGUAAACUUAUAUGGUCUGUAGUUGUAUUAUAUCACGUUUGAUAUCAAAAUAUGUAAUUACCUAUAUAUACUAUUAGUAUACUAAUAUCAAAAAACAAACAACAUAUUGAAAAAGAACAAAUAAAAAUUCAAGAUUCAUAAUUCCCAGAAAAAAGAAAAAUAGCCCACAAAGCUAAACAUACCAGGAAAGUUGAAAAUUCGAGAAGGUGGCAGAAAAAACAUACGGAUAAAUGAUGAAAAACGACAGAAUCUAAUCUGAGAGGUAUUAUAAGAUAAGAGAACCGCGUGCAGUUUUCUUAUUUUAUUUUAUUUUAUUUUAUUUUAUUUUUAAUUCUUUUUGUGUGUGUGUGUGUGUCUUUGUCUUAGGAGGCACGAUAUGAAUUCAAUGCGAUUUCUUCCUCAUUCAAUUUGCUUUCACAAAAUCAUGAAAAGCAAAGAAUAUUUAACGUUUGCAUUUAUUAUUUGAUACUCCUUUCCUAGAAACGUGGAAGAAGAAAUGAAGAAAAAAGUUAGUAGUUUUAAUUAUUUUUAUUACUUGCAAUAAAUUUCGUCCCACUUUUAGUAACUUACCCGUUUCAUUGUAAUUUAUUUAUUUUUUAUUUUAUUUUUUGUUCGGCCAAAA